rnacentral:rRNA from 1 species
CCUACGGGAGGCAGCAGUAGGGAAUCUUGUGCAAUGGGCGAAAGCCUGACACAGCAACUCCGCGUGCGGGAAGAAGGCCUUAGGGUUGUAAACCGCUUUUGGCAGGAACGAAAAUGACGGUACCUGCAGAAUAAGGUGCGGCCAACUACGUGCCAGCAGCCGCGGUGACACGUAGGCACCAAGCGUUGUCCGGAUUUAUUGGGCGUAAAGAGCUCGUAGGCGGUUCAGUUAGUCGGGUGUGAAAACUCUGGGCUUAACCCGGAGACGCCACUCGAUACUGCUGGGCUAGAAUUCGGUAGGGGAGUGGGGAAUUCCUGGUGUAGCGGUGAAAUGCGCAGAUAUCAGGAGGAACACCGGUGGCGAAGGCGCCACUCUGGGCCGACAUUGACGCUGAGGAGCGAAAGCGUGGGUAGCAAACAGGAUUAGAUACCCUGGUAGUCCACGCCGUAAACGGUGGGCACUAGGUGUGGGUUCCAACCAACGGAAUCCGUGCCGUCGCAAACGCAUUAAGUGCCCCGCCUGGGGAGGUACGGCCGCGAGUAAACGUACAAGAAGUAGACG